rnacentral:rRNA from 1 species
UGGGGAAUUUUGGGCAAUGGCCGCAAGGCUGACCCAGCGACGCCGCGUGUGGGAGGAAGCCCUUCGGGGUGUAAACCACUGUCGGGGGGGACGAAUGUCGGGCAGUGAAUAGCUGUUCCGAGUGACGGUACCCCCAAAGGAAGCGCCGGCUAACUCCGUGCCAGCAGCCGCGGUAAGACGGAGGGCGCAAGCGUUGUUCGGAAUUACUGGGCGUAAAGCGCGCGCAGGCGGGAAGAUAAGUCUGGAGUGAAAUUCCGGGGCUCAACUCCGGAGCUGCUUUGGAUACUGUUUUUCUAGGGACCGGUAGAGGCCGGUGGAAUUCCCGGUGUAGCGGUGGAAUGCGUAGAGAUCGGGAAGAACACCCGUGGCGAAGGCGGCCGGCUGGGCCGGAUCCGACGCUGAGGCGCGAAAGCGUGGGGAGCAAACAGGAUUAGAUACCCCCGUAGUCC